UACGGAGGGGGCAAGCGUUGUUCGGAAUUAUUGGGCGUAAAGGGCACGUAGGCGGCUUGAUAAGUCGGGGGUGAAAGCCCUGGGCUCAACCCAGGAAGUGCACUCGAAACUGUCAGGCUUGAAUAUGGAAGAGGGUCGCGGAAUUCCCGGUGUAGAGGUGAAAUUCGUAGAUAUCGGGAGGAACACCAGUGGCGAAGGCGGCGACCUGGGCCAAUAUUGACGCUGAGGUGCGAAAGCGUGGGGAGCAAACAGG
rnacentral:rRNA from 1 species